AGAGUUUGAUCAUGGCUCAGGACGAACGCUGGCGGCGCGCUUAACACAUGCAAGUCGAGCGAGAACCGGUUCUUCGGAACCGGGGAAAGCGGCGAACGGGUGAGUAACACGUGAGUAAUCCACCCUCGGCACCGGGAUAGCCCGGGGAAACUCGGAUUAAUACCGGAUGGCCCAGCAGCUCUUCGGGGCGGUUGGGAAAGGUAGCUUCGGCCUCCGGCCGAGGACGAGCUCGCGGCGGAUUAGCUUGUUGGUGGGGUAAUGGCCUACCAAGGCGACGAUCCGUAGCUGGUCUGAGAGGACGAUCAGCCACACUGGGACUGAGACACGGCCCAGACUCCUACGGGAGGCAGCAGUGGGGAAUCUUGCACAAUGGGCGAAAGCCUGAUGCAGCGACGCCGCGUGAGGGAAGAAGGCUUUCGGGUUGUAAACCUCUUUCAGGAGGGACGAAGCUACUCGGGUUAAUAGCCCAGAGGGUGACGGUACCUCCAGAAGAAGCCCCGGCUAACUACGUGCCAGCAGCCGCGGUA
rnacentral:rRNA from 1 species